rnacentral:rRNA from 1 species
UACGGGGGGGGCAAGCGUUGUUCGGAAUUACUGGGCGUAAAGGGCUCGUAGGUGGCCAACUAAGUCGGACGUGAAAUCCCUCAGCUUAACUGGGGAACUGCGUCCGAUACUGGAUGGCUCGAGUUUGGGAGAGGGAUGCGGAAUUCCAGGUGUAGCGGUGAAAUGCGUAGAUAUCGGGAGGAACACCUGUGGCGAAGGCGGCCCCCUGGUUGGAUACUGACGCUGAUACGCGAAAGCGUGGGGAGCAAACAGG